GAUGAACGCUAGCUACAGGCUUAACACAUGCAAGUCGAGGGGCAGCGGUAUCGAAAGCUUGCUUUCGGUAGCCGGCGACCGGCGCACGGGUGAGUAACGCGUAUCGAACCUGCCUCAUACUCGGGAAUAGCCUUGCGAAAGUAAGAUUAAUGCCCGGUGUUUUCAGAGUCCCGCAUGAGGCUUUGAACAAAGAUUUAUCGGUAUGAGAUGGCGAUGCGUCCCAUUAGCUUGUUGGCGGGGUAACGGCCCACCAAGGCAUCGAUGGGUAGGGGUUCUGAGAGGAAGGUCCCCCACAUUGGAACUGAGACACGGUCCAAACUCCUACGGGAGGCAGCAGUGAGGAAUAUUGGUCAAUGGGCGGAAGCCUGAACCAGCCAAGUAGCGUGCAGGAAGACGGCCCUCCGGGUUGUAAACUGCUUUUAGUUGGGAAUAAAACGGGGCUCGUGAGCCCCCUGGCAUGUACCAUCAGAAAAAGGACCGGCUAAUUCCGU
rnacentral:rRNA from 1 species